AUUGAACGCUGGCGGAAUGCUUUACACAUGCAAGUCGAACGGUAACAGGUUAAGCUGACGAGUGGCGAACGCGUGAGUAAUUCAUCCGAACGUGCCCAGUCGUGGGGGAUAACGUAGAUAAAUUAACGCCCCUACCGCAUACGAUCUAACGAUGGUGGCGGGGGAGCGUAAGGCCACGCGCGAUCGCGGUGGCCGACGUCAGAGUGGGUAGUUGGUGGGGUAAAGGCCUACCAAGCCGACGAUCGAUAGGUGGUUUGAGAAGACGACGAGCCACACUGGAACUGAGACACGGCCCGGACUCCUACGGGAGGCAGCAGUGGGGAAUGUUGGACAAUGGGCGCAAGCCUGAUCCAGCCAUUCCGCGUGCAGGAGGAAGGCCCUCGGGUUGUAAGCUGCUUUUGGACAGAACGAAGAGGUCUGGGUUAAUACCCUGGGCUCAUGACGGGACUGUAAGAAUAAGCACCGGCUAACUACGUGCCAUCCGCCGCAGUAA
rnacentral:rRNA from 1 species